rnacentral:rRNA from 1 species
AACGAACGCUGGCGGCAGGCUUAACACAUGCAAGUCGAGCGCCCCGCAAGGGGAGCGGCAGACGGGUGAGUAACGCGUGGGAAUCUACCCAUCUCUACGGAAUAACGCAUGGAAACGUGUGCUAAUACCGUAUACGUCCUUCGGGAGAAAGAUUUAUCGGAGAUGGAUGAGCCCGCGUUGGAUUAGGUAGUUGGUGGGGUAAAGGCCUACCAAGGCGACGAUCCAUAGCUGGUCUGAGAGGAUGAUCAGCCACACUGGGACUGAGACACGGCCGAGACUCCUACGGGAGGCAGCAGUGGGGAAUAUUGGACAAUGGGCGCAAGCCUGAUCCAGCCAUGCCGCGUGAGUGAUGAAGGCCCUAGGGUUGUAAGGCUCUUUCACCGGUGAAGAUAAUGACGGUAACCGGAGAAGAAGCCCCGGCUAACUUCGUGCCAGCCGCCGCAGUAAAAC